UACGGAGGAUCCAAGCGUUAUCCGGAUUUAUUGGGUUUAAAGGGUGCGUAGGCGGCCUAUUAAGUCAGGGGUGAAAGACGGUGGCUUAACUAUCGCAGUGCCUUUGAUACUGAUGGGCUUGAAUGUACUUGAGGUAGGCGGAAUGUGACAAGUAGCGGUGAAAUGCAUAGAUAUGUCACAGAACACUAAUUGCGAAGGCAGCUUACUAAAGUAUGAUUGACGCUGAGGCACGAAAGCGUGGGGAUCAAACAGG
rnacentral:rRNA from 1 species